CAAGGGGAGUGGCAGACGGGUGAGUAACGCGUGGGAACAUACCCUUUCCUGCGGAAUAGCUCUGGGAAACUGGAAUUAAUACCGCAUACGCCCUACGGGGGAAAGAUUUAUCGGGGAAGGAUUGGCCCGCGUUGGAUUAGCUAGUUGGUGGGGUAAAGGCCUACCAAGGCGACGAUCCAUAGCUGGUCUGAGAGGAUGAUCAGCCACAUUGGGACUGAGACACGGCCCAAACUCCUACGGGAGGCAGCAGUGGGGAAUAUUGGACAAUGGGCGCAAGCCUGAUCCAGCCAUGCCGCGUGAGUGAUGAAGGCCUUAGGGUUGUAAAGCUCUUUCACCGAUGAAGAUAAUGACGGUAGUCGGAGAAGAAGCCCCGGCUAACUUCGUGCCAGCAGCCGCGGUAAUACGAAGGGGGCUAGCGUUGUUCGGAAUUACUGGGCGUAAAGCGCACGUAGGCGGAUAUUUAAGUCAGGGGUGAAAUCCCGCAGCUCAACUGCGGAACUGCCUUUGAUACUGGGUAUCUUGAGUAUGGAAGAGGUAAGUGGAAUUCCGAGUGUAGAGGUGAAAUUCGUAGAUAUUCGGAGGAACACCAGUGGCGAA
rnacentral:rRNA from 1 species